GCAGGCUCUGCACUGUCAGCAUGGAAACAAAUGUGGGGUUUGAACCCAUGAACCAUGAGAUCACGACCCAAGCCGAAAUCAAGAGUCACUCAGUCAACUGAGCUACCCAGGUGCCCCUCAUUAGUGGGUUUUGAAAUCAAUUCACUGUGGGCCAUAGUUAAAAUACAUACGUAUCUCUAUGUAGGAAUGCAUUGCAAAGAGAAAAGGUGAGUAUCUUUCCAGUAUGUGUAUACUAGGACAUCACAAGGGAAAAUGUUUUCUUUAUUGGGGCCAAUGGUAAAAAAAGUUUGAAAGCCCCAUCCUGAGUCGUUAAGGAGUUCAGAGUCCCAGCUCCUUCCUUUUCCUUCCAGGGUACUGACCCUAUCAGUCAGACCAAGGUGGCUGAGCUACUUGGGGAAGGUGACAGUGGAAGGACCUCCCAGGAGGGCUCUGGGGGCAGCGUGAAAUAUGAAGGAGGUGAAGAUGCUUCUGUGGCUGUGGAGUGGUCAGGGGAUGGCAGUGGGACCCUGCAGAGGAGUGGUUCUCUGGGCAAGAUCCGGGAUGUGCUUCGUAGAAGCAGUGAACUCCUGGUGAGGAAGCUCCAGGGGACUGAGCCUCGGCCCUCCAGCAGCAACAUGAAGCGGGCAGCCUCCUUAAAUUAUCUGAAUCAACCCAGUGCAGCACCCCUCCAGGUCUCCCGGGGCCUCAGUGCCAGCACCACCGACCUCUCUUCAAGCAGCUGACAUUCAACCCACCCACCAGGUCUGCUGGGUCUCCCCCCAGACAGCCCUCUCAGCAUUCCCUAUUGCUCCUGGCUCUUCCAGCCCCAAGGUGGGACAGUGAAGGGAGAGCAGUUAACCAGAAGAUUGCUGCUGCCCUAGGGUCUUGGCUCCCUCCUCAGGAAUCUGCCUCAGGAAGGACCCUCAGGACAUCCUCUCCCCGUAGUCCUCUAGAGUAGCUAGCUCUGAGGCCCCCAAGAUGCAUAAGGAGCAGGUAUGCAUCUCAGAGAUGGAGCCUGCUGCUGGCUUUUCUGUCAGAGGGAUGGGGCUGGCCAGCCAGGCUGCCUUGAUCUGGCCUCUCUUGUUCCCUCUGCUGCCUCACUUCAGGUCCGUGUAUUUCACUUUUCUUAAAUAAAAGAAUCAGGUAACCA